rnacentral:rRNA from 1 species
CCAGACUCCUACGGGAGGCAGCAGUGAGGAAUAUUGGUCAAUGGGCGAGAGCCUGAACCAGCCAAGUCGCGUGAGGGAAGACGGUCCUAUGGAUUGUAAACCUCUUUUGCCGGGGAGCAAAAAGCGGUACGUGUACCGCAUCGAGAGUACCCGGAGAAAAAGCAUCGGCUAACUCCGUGCCAGCAGCCGCGGUAAUACGUAGGGGGCAAGCGUUAUCCGGAAUUACUGGGUGUAAAGGGUGAGUAGGCGGCACUGUAAGUAAGAUGUGAAAGCCUUAGGCUUAACCUGAGGAUUGCAUUAUAAACUGCAGAGCUAGAGUGCAGGAGAGGAAAGCGGAAUUCCUAGUGUAGCGGUGAAAUGCGUAGAUAUUAGGAAGAACACCAGUGGCGAAGGCGGCUUUCUGGACUGAAACUGACGCUGAGGCACGAAAGCGUGGGGAGCGAACAGGAUUAGAUACCCUUGUA